rnacentral:rRNA from 1 species
GGUUUUUGGAAUUUAUCAAAAAUCCAACCUGCUCAAUGUUUAUAUAAAUAGCCGCGGUAUCAUGACCGUGCAAAGGUAGCAUAAUAAUUAGUCUUUUAAUUGGAGACUGGAAUGAAUGGUUUGACUAAAUAUUUUUGUCUUAUAUUUAUAUUUCUAAUUUUAUAUUUUAAUAAAAAAGUUAAAAUAUUCUUAAGGGACGAGAAGACCCUAUCAAGCUUUAUAAUAAAUUAUUUAUUUUCAAAUUAAUUAAAAUAUUAUUUUACUGGGGCAGUAAAUAAAAAAAUAUUAUUUAUAUAUUGUAGUACCAAACUUUUAACAAACAAGAAAUUUUUAAAAAGAAAUAAGUUACUGUAGGGAUAACAGCAUAAUUUUUUUUAAGAGUUCUUAUCAUCAAAAAAGUUUGUGACCUCGAUGUUGGAUUAAGAUUCCUAGUUUGCGCAGUAGUAAAAAAAGGAAGUCUGUUCGACUUUUAAAAUCUUCCA